GAAUUUUGGACAAUGGGCGAAAGCCUGAUCCAGCAAUGCCGCGUGCAGGAUGAAGGCAUUCGGGUUGUAAACUGCUUUUGUACGGAACGAAAAGCUUUGGGUUAAUACCCUGGAGACAUGACGGUACCGUAAGCAUAAGCCCCGGCUAACACCGUUACAGAUGCCGCGGUAAUACGUAGGGUGAAAGCGUAAAUCGGAAUUACUGGUCGGAAAGGGUGGGCAGGCGGUUUUGUAAGACAGAGGUGAAAUCCCCGGGCGCAACCUGGGAACUGCCUUUGUGACUGCAAGGCUAGAGGACGGCAGAGGGGGGUGGAAUUCCGCGUGUAGCAGUGAAAUGCGUAGAUAUGCGGAGGAACACCGAUGGCGAAGGCAACCCCCUGGGCCUGUACUGACGCUCAUGCACGAAAGCGUGGGGAGCAAACA
rnacentral:rRNA from 1 species